rnacentral:rRNA from 1 species
UACGUAGGCAGCAAGCGUUGUUCGGAGUUACUGGGCGUAAAGGGUGUGUAGGCGGUUCUCUAAGUCUGGUGUGAAAUCUCCCGGCUCAACUGGGAGGGUGCGCCGGAAACUGGAGAGCUAGAGUACUGGAUGGGAGAGUGGAAUUCCUGGUGUAGCGGUGAAAUGCAUAGAUAUCGUCAAGAACACCGAUAGCGAAGGCAGCUUACUAGACUGUAACUGACGCUGAUGCACGAAAGUGUGGGGAUCAAACAGG